rnacentral:lncRNA from 1 species
CUUUAUUCCCGUGCGUGACACUAGCUACGUUUAUGCGAGGCUCGAAACCGAGGUUUCACGAAACCCGAGUUUGUAAUGCAAGUUUUCGCCGUCGGGUUUAUGCGGGCGCUGUAACCCGACUUUCGCGGGAAAUCAAACUUUCCGAUUCUGGCGCUGUUUAUGCGCAUAUUUUCGAUUGAACUUGAAUUUCAUGCGUUGGCGCCAUUUUCACAAGCUAUACUUCAUUUUUUCACUAUGAAUUGAUUCAAUAAAAUUAUUAUUACUCUUUUAUCCUGUGUAUGUUCCACAAUUUUUCCGCAAUAUAUAAGCGGAGGCUUCAUCUUCACUAGAAAAACCUUUACUGACUUUCUGAGCAACAGUUGGAAAAAUGACAGUGGAUUUUUAAUCAUUUUACGUUCAUAUUUAAAAAUUGAAUGAAUACCUAAGUAAUCUCAACAACCCUUCAAAUCAUGCUCGAGCUUAUAUUCUGAGUUCAGAAAAGUUGCCAUAGGUAAUUUUAGUGAUGUUAAAAAUAAUUGUGGCAGGCGCAGAAAUUCAUCAUGUUGUUUAUUGAGCUUCUAAUGAUCUUACAAUAGUUAGAUAUAGGCAUUGAAAGUUUAGGAGUGCUAAUCCAGUAAAGCACCGCACCUUCACUCCAUGGUGUCGUACAGAUUGUAUGUCUGCCGUUAUUGAAGUGAAACAAAUAACUAAUCGGGAAUACUUUUGGGAAUCGCUCCUUCAAAAUAUGAUCAAAAUAAGAGGAUAUUGAUAGGUCAACAAUGUAUCGCUGAAGCAGAAGUGUCUAAAUCCUCUCGAGGCAACGGACUGUGACAAUCUUAACAAACUGAUGACGCUUCACAAAUUUUAAAUUUCCACUUUCCCAGAGACACGCGCUGAAAUCCUGUUUCUCACCCCUCUUACCGACUGCUCUCCGAGUCCAUGAGCAAGACAGGAAGAAAACAGGCAAGCUACCUACUACUGUUUGCCUACCUAUGUGUUUUUUUUCUUAAGCUUGAUUUUCAAAGGUGACUCAUGUCAAGAGCAACUGACAAACAAGAUUUCAGAACCUGCCAUUGCAUUUCACAAACCGAAGACACAAACCCAACCUUACCAUUGAUAUUCUUUCGCUUACACUGUAUAUUAUUCUCCCAUUGAGAUUCGAUAUGAACUUAAUUCGACAAUGCUUUUGAAUUAAAUUAGUCGGGUAGAUUGGAAUAUGGAGCGUUCAGUCUAUCUGUAAAGCGCAUUUACUAACAUUCACUGCUGUCACAAGAUAUUUUUGCACAGGCAGAGCCACUUUCCACAGUUGAUGCAUCUCUAACGCCAAGGCUCAAUUAUAACAAGUGAUUCAACAAAGUGUGUGUGACAAAAAUUGUUACACGGCUCAAUAAAACCGUAUUCUUAUCUCAAAUUGCAAAUCUUGGAUAACAGAGCACUCACCAAAAAAUCUCCUUCCUUCUGCCUCAGUAUGAGAAGAGUGACGAUACUUUGGAGCAAUAA